AAACCAAAACUUUUGUUCACCAGCUGCUCAGCUUUUCAGUCUGGGUCUGAGCUGAAACUUGCUGCAAGUCUGACGGUACCAAAUUACAUAUAUAUCUGUCAAAAUGAUGUAGGACCUAAAGUCUCUCUGUAAGUUGAUCCUUUUGACCCCAUGAUUAGGAGCUUCACAAUGUGGUACCACACCUGGAAACCUCCAGAACAAGAUCUCAAGGAAACACAGGAAAUUCCUGAAACAGCAAAACCCCCUAUGUGAAGACGUCUGUUAUUCCUUUGUGUAUCAGGAGCAUCACUGUCAAUUAACUGUUGAUACACUUAAAACACCUUGGUUGGCAAUGUCCUUUUUGAAAAAAGAAGAGCCAGGUGUGUUUUUCAGGAUGAACUAGACAAUGCUGUCACAAGUUUACCUCAAAAAUGUCCUGCAUAUCGUGGCAGUGGUUGGCUCUCCAGGCAGCAGUUGGCGCUGUGAAUCAGUCAUCUCAGCAUGUGUCUCCAACAUCCCACAGCAGGGUAAAAAAGAGGUGGAGGGUCACAUGCCUGGUGUUAUAUACUUUGAGGCAGAGGUGGUAGGUGCCACUUCUGCUCACAGCUCAGGGACCAGAACAAAGCCAUGCAUACCUGAGAGAGGACCAGAAAAUAUUCUGAAGCACAUGGCUAUUUGGUGAGCAGUAAAUGCUUC
rnacentral:lncRNA from 1 species